GCAGCGGUUGACCUUUCUGGAGAAUUACCCAUAUGCAAUUUCUAAACACGUUCCUCUUGGCGUGACUAAUCGAUUUUAUGAAGCUUUUAAAAUAAUAAAUGGAUUGGAUCCAGACAACAUGUAAUUCUGUAUAUAAUCUUUCCAUCUUUGACUUCUCACCAACAUUUACAUUCAAGAUGCUGAUUGGUGUUGUGAUUUUCGCUCUUCUUGGCAUGGCAAGCGCUUUGCAGGCAAGUCACUGCGAUGACAAAUUAUCAAAGAAAUAAAUGAAAUAAAAGAAAAAAAA